rnacentral:rRNA from 1 species
AUGGUUGGGAGGAAGAUCUGGUCGGCGGCCUCCAAAUCGCCAUGGUGGCCGGUCGACUGUGGAGGGGGUGGGUGGGGCGUGCCAAUUGGAUCUGGCCUCGGAGAUAACAGUGAGAGGGUGGCAGUAUUCUGUAGUCACGCGUACGGUGUUGAGGUGCCGGCGAAGGAGGCGGCAGAGGCACUGUCGCCUACAGCGGACGAGCAAGCGUCUGCAUCAUCCGCUAGUUCCGGAGAUGAAAAAGAGAAGAGCAACGAUCAACUCAUGCUAGCAGUGGCAACUACUAACCAUUAUGGUGUAAGAGGGACAUUUUACCAGCCUCGUACGCCCGAGGAGAACAUUAUGGUGAAGCUAGCCGAAUGGAUAAAGGAUGUCGCUCAAGGCCGCACUGCUGAGGGGGAGCCCAUACCAUCGGUCGCCAUUGUGGCACCGGAUAAGGAGGAAACCCUGGCUAUUGCGGAGAAAGCUUCGGUAAUGUGGAAAGAAAGUUGUUCCCACGGGCGCAGUGUCAUGAUCGACAUCCCAGCAGUGCACAUCCUUUCGCGAGCCCUUCGAACUCGGGACAUUCUGUACUACAUCCUGCGGAAGCUUCAAUCUGUCAAACCACAGCCCCAACAACAGGAAGGUCGAGUCAGUGAAGAGGAGGCUGGAAAAAUAAGAAUUGAUAUUCACUUAAAAAAAUAUGAGCUGCUCAAUGAUAUCACAAAACAAAUCCAAGCAAUGAAGGUGGACAAGAAGUUUUCUGAAAUCAAGGACAAAAUGAAAGGAAUGAAGGGCGGACAGCUGCAGAUCAACCUACAACAAAUGGAUGAAGACCCGCUGGGUCUGCCAGAAUCUGUUAAAGAUGAACCCUUAUUGGUACUCCUUCGAGCGCUGCGGCAGCUCAAGCACAAGCCUAUUGAAGGUGAGCCUACUACCAACCAAGACCAGGAAUGGAAGGAAGACACAUUCACGCACAAAUAUAUCAUCAAGAGAACAGCCGAGAAGCUUAAAAGGCACAUGGAAGAAGAUGCAGGCACAGAGGCAAUUCGUCUCAAUGAAGCCCAUUAUGAACAGAUCCUAAGCGAGGUGUUCCCCCCGGUGACCACCAAGAAGAACCGGCAGAUCCAGGAGCAAGCCACCGCCGUCAGCGCCACUAGCACCAUUAUAUUGGUCGAGGAUCAAAUCAAAAAAUUGAUCCGCAAGGUCCUUCAGGAGAAAUCCGUGCACAAACCAGGUGCUGAUGGUACACAAAGUCAGCAUUGUAUCCCCGAUGCUCUAAUUGAAGAAACCAUAGCAAAGAUUCAGGAAAUCGAGUGCACGAUGCAAGACCAGCUCCAGAUCAAAGGAAUCAUGGACAAAAUUGAAGAUUGUUUGACAAGACAAGAUGACAAGAUCCUGGUUAUCCUCAAACUCGAUGCUGACUGGGUAUCCAGAUGGGAGGAGACCAAAAAUGCUUUCAGCAUGUUUGGUCGCAUAGCUGGUGCAUUGAUGUUGACAUUCAAAGAUAACAUAGCACGAGCCAAAGAAUAUUGCUGGCCCGUGCGGGAGCCUAUAGACUGUUGUCUUCUUGGCCUCUACCAUGAUACUGCACUUGAGCUUACAAAAAACCACAUGCUUGAAGAUAACCCGAAGAUUUAUCUUGACAUCUUGGACAAGUGUAACCAACAUGAAUUCUGCAUGAAGAUCUUCAUUCAUGCUUUGCACGCCAACCCCAAGAGGAGCAAUGAAGAGCUAAGAAAGUUGCACAAAGCCCUGCUGCCGGUACCUCAAGCUUCACACACAUCUGCACACAACUCAUUGGACAACAAUAUCAUUGCUAAGAAGAUGUUCAUGUUCUCUUAUAGUGACCUGCCUAGGGAAUAUAGGUCCUGCUUGCUAUACCUCGCAAUUUUCCCUCGAAGACAACACAUCAGGCGGUCAACCUUGAUAGCACGGUGGGUUGUAGAAGGGUUGAUAACCAAGCAAGACUGGGCCAGUUCAGUUCGGCAUGCCAAUCGAUGUUUUGAGGCGCUCAUUAAUCGGUGGCUUGUUUAUCCUGCUGAUAUUGGUGCUACAGGACAGGUGAAGAGCUGUGUGAUAGGUGAUGUAGUUCAUGGAUUCAUAACCAAGAUCGCCAGAAAACAGCGCAUUGUAGAAACACGCCUGUCACAUUACUUGGCUCGCCACUUCUCCAUUUUCAACAAUCUCCGAAUCCGUCGCUCUGAUAAAAUCAACAGAUUCUUUGAAAAGCUCUAUGAAGAAUCAUUUCGAGUAUCCAUUAUCAAGGUGCUAGAUCUAGAAGGCUGUAAAUGCUUUGGUGGUAAGAACCAGCGGUACCUCAAGGACAUCUGCAGGACGAUGUUACUGCUCAAGUAUCUGAGUCUAAGAGGAACAGAUGUUAAACAGCUGUCGAGUGAAAUCAACAACCUCCGUGAGCUGGAAGUAUUGGAUAUUCGGGACACCCAUGUGCCUGAGUCUGCAACAGCACGGAAUCAUCAAGUUUUGAAAGAUAUUGGAAAGCUAUGGCAGCUGAGGAAGCUUGGUGUGGUUAUUGAAGACAAUGACAAACUCAUUAGGAAUUUGCUUCGAGCUAUCAGCCACCUGCAUGAGUGCCUCAAGUCUCUGUCAAUCACUCUUCCCAUGACUGAGCAAGAUCCUUCCAACGAAGAUUUUUCAGAUACUGUUCUCAAUUAUUAUAAAAAACCUCCCAAGCUUCUUCUUGAGAGCCGAAGCAUUACUGGAACCACAAAAAAGGGGAAACUUCUUCAACUGCUGAUCAAACAUAGUGACGAAUUCCAACUUGCGAAGAUAACUCUAACUGGAACCCGACUGAAGCAGGAUGAUCUAAGGGUCCUCAACGAGCUUCCCAAUAUUGUUUGUCUCAGGCUCCAGGACAAAGCAUACACCAAUGGCAAGCUCACCUUCAAGAAGGACAAAUUCAAAAAUCUCAAGUGCUUUCUUGUUGAGGGAUCCAACAUGACUGACAUCUUGUUUGAAGAUGGAGCAGCCCUUAAGCUCGAGAAGAUCAUUUUAUGCUCCACAGAUAUCAUACAAUCUCUUUCUGGAGUCGAAGACCUUCCAGAACUGAAGGAAGUCGAGUUGAACAACAACAAUAAGCUUUCAUUAUUUGACAAGGCCGAGAAAGUUUCCAAGGUGACUCUUUGUGGUACCAAACUGAGCAAAGAUGAUCUAAAAAUGUUUGCCAAGAUACAGUAUAUGCGCUGCCUAGUGCUGAAGGAGAAAGCUUGUGUUGAAAACGAGAUUUUGUUCAACAAAGAUGAGUUCCCAAGGCUCAACCUUCUUAUUGUCGACGGUUCAUCUAUCACCAAGAUAGAGUUUGCCAGUGGAUCUGCUCCCAAGCUGGAGAAAAUCAUCUGGUCCUUCACAAGGGGCACUGUGGAGAGUCUCCUCGGCAUUGUCAACCUUCCAAAAUUGAAGGAGCUCGAGUUCAAUGGCGAUUUGAUCCCUGAUGAGUUGAAAGAAGCAAUUAACAAACCCAAGCUUAUGCACAACCAACCAGAAAACCAAUACCAAGAAAUGGGAAACAUAGAAGAAAUGGGCAAGGCCGCAAGAUUCCCAUCCUGCUGGAAGAGCCAGGAUUGA